ACGGCGAGUGAAGCGGUAAUAGCUCAAAUUUGAAAUCUGGCUCUAGGGUCCGAGUUGUAAUUUGUAGAGGAUGUUUCGGGUGCGCCCGCAGUUUAAGUUCCUUGGAACAGGACGUCAUAGAGGGUGAGAAUCCCGUCUUGAACUGUACGGCAAGUCCAUGUGAAACUCCUUCGACGAGUCGAGUUGUUUGGGAAUGCAGCUCAAAAUGGGAGGUAAAUUUCUUCUAAAGCUAAAUAUUGGCCAGAGACCGAUAGCGCACAAGUAGAGUGAUCGAAAGAUGAAAAGCACUUUGAAAAGAGAGUUAAACAGUAUGUGAAAUUGUUAAAAGGGAAGCGUUUGCAACCAGACUUGUUUCUAACAGUUCUACCGCAGUUCUCUGUGGCUUAUUCUGUUAGUCCAGGCCAGCAUCAGUUUGGGUGGCUCGUUAAAGACUUUGGGAAUGUAUCUACUCCUUCGGGUGUAGACUUAUAGCCCAUUGUGUAAUAGGGUCUACCUGGACUGAGGUACGCGCAUUGCUCGGA
rnacentral:rRNA from 1 species